rnacentral:rRNA from 1 species
UACGUAGGGGGCAAGCGUUGUCCGGAUUUAUUGGGCGUAAAGAGCGUGUAGGCGGCUAGAUAGGUCCGUUGUGAAAACUCCAGGCUCAACCUGGAGACGCCACCUGAUACUGCUGUGGCUAGAGUCCGGGUAGGGGAGCAUGGAAUUCCUGGUGUAGCGGUGAAAUGCGCAGAUAUCAGGAGGAACACCAGUGGCGAAGGCGGUGCUCUGGGCCGGAACUGACGCUGAGGAGCGAAAGCGUGGGGAGCAAACAGG